rnacentral:rRNA from 2 species
GGGUUGUGAGGUUAAGCGACUAAGCGUACACGGUGGAUGCCCUGGCAGUCAGAGGCGAUGAAGGGCGUGCUAAUCUGCGAUAAGCGCCGGUAAGGUGAUAUGAACCGUUAUAACCGGCGAUACCCGAAUGGGGAAACCCAGUGUGAUUCGUCACACUAUCAUUAACUGAAUCCAUAGGUUAAUGAGGCGAACCGGGGGAACUGAAACAUCUAAGUACCCCGAGGAAAAGAAAUCAACCGAGAUUCCCCCAGUAGCGGCGAGCGAACGGGGAGGAGCCCAGAGCCUGAAUCAGCAUGUGUGUUAGUGGAAGCGUCUGGAAAGGCGCGCGAUACAGGGUGACAGCCCCGUACACAAAAGCGCAUGUGCUGUGAGCUCGAUGAGUAGGGCGGGACACGUGGUAUCCUGUCUGAAUAUGGGGGGACCAUCCUCCAAGGCUAAAUACUCCUGACUGACCGAUAGUGAACCAGUACCGUGAGGGAAAGGCGAAAAGAACCCCGGCGAGGGGAGUGAAAAAGAACCUGAAACCGUGUACGUACAAGCAGUGGGAGCCCCACCACUAAGCCAGUGGUGAACUCCACAUCCGCAUCCUUUGCUGAGGAUACGGUUAACGGAGCGAAAGCGACGUUCAACCGCAAAACAAGCAGAGGGGGCUUAGUGGUGGGGUGACUGCGUACCUUUUGUAUAAUGGGUCAGCGACUUAUAUUCUGUAGCAAGGUUAACCGAAUAGGGGAGCCGGAGGGAAACCGAGUCUUAAUUGGGCGUUAAGUUGCAGGGUAUAGACCCGAAACCCGGUGAUCUAGCCAUGGGCAGGUUGAAGGUUGGGUAACACUAACUGGAGGACCGAACCGACUAAUGUUGAAAAAUUAGCGGAUGACCUGUGGCUGGGGGUGAAAGGCCAAUCAAACCGGGAGAUAGCUGGUUCUCCCCGAAAGCUAUUUAGGUAGCGCCUCGUGAAUUCAUCUCCGGGGGUAGAGCACUGUUUCGGCUAGGGGGCCAUCCCGGCUUACCAACCCGAUGCAAACUGCGAAUACCGGAGAAUGUUAUCACGGGAGACACACGGCGGGUGCUAACGUCCGUCGUGAAGAGGGAAACAACCCAGACCGCCAGCUAAGGUCCCAAAGUCAUGGUUAAGUGGGAAACGAUGUGGGAAGGCCCAGACAGCCAGGAUGUUGGCUUAGAAGCAGCCAUCAUUUAAAGAAAGCGUAAUAGCUCACUGGUCGAGUCGGCCUGCGCGGAAGAUGUAACGGGGCUAAACCAUGCACCGAAGCUGCGGCAGCGAACGUAUCACCCAAGACAACUUUACGGAGUUGACGAUUGACGGAGCGAAGCGACGUCAAAGCGUUCAUUAAAGUCGAGUUGGCUUAGGGAUACGUUCGUUGGGUAGGGGAGCGUUCUGUAAGCCUGUGAAGGUGUGUCGUGAGGCAUGCUGGAGGUAUCAGAAGUGCGAAUGCUGACAUAAGUAACGAUAAAGCGGGUGAAAAGCCCGCUCGCCGGAAGACCAAGGGUUCCUGUCCAACGUUAAUCGGGGCAGGGUGAGUCGACCCCUAAGGCGAGGCCGAAAGGCGUAGUCGAUGGGAAACGGGUUAAUAUUCCCGUACUUGGUGUUACUGCGAAGGGGGGACGGAGAAGGCUAUGUUGGCCGGGCGACGGUUGUCCCGGUUUAAGCGUGUAGGUGUGUGUUCCAGGUAAAUCCGGUUCACUUUAACACUGAGGCGUGACGACGAGGCACUACGGUGCUGAAGCAACAAAUGCCCUGCUUCCAGGAAAAGCCUCUAAGCAUCAGGUAACACGAAAUCGUACCCCAAACCGACACAGGUGGUCAGGUAGAGAAUACCAAGGCGCUUGAGAGAACUCGGGUGAAGGAACUAGGCAAAAUGGUGCCGUAACUUCGGGAGAAGGCACGCUGACACGUAGGUGAAGUGAUUUACUCAUGGAGCUGAAGUCAGUCGAAGAUACCAGCUGGCUGCAACUGUUUAUUAAAAACACAGCACUGUGCAAACACGAAAGUGGACGUAUACGGUGUGACGCCUGCCCGGUGCCGGAAGGUUAAUUGAUGGGGUCAGCGUAAGCGAAGCUCCUGAUCGAAGCCCCGGUAAACGGCGGCCGUAACUAUAACGGUCCUAAGGUAGCGAAAUUCCUUGUCGGGUAAGUUCCGACCUGCACGAAUGGCGUAAUGAUGGCCAGGCUGUCUCCACCCGAGACUCAGUGAAAUUGAACUCGCUGUGAAGAUGCAGUGUACCCGCGGCAAGACGGAAAGACCCCGUGAACCUUUACUAUAGCUUGACACUGAACAUUGAGCCUUGAUGUGUAGGAUAGGUGGGAGGCUUUGAAGUGUGGACGCCAGUCUGCAUGGAGCCGACCUUGAAAUACCACCCUUUAAUGUUUGAUGUUCUAACGUGGACCCGUUACCCGGGUUGCGGACAGUGUCUGGUGGGUAGUUUGACUGGGGCGGUCUCCUCCUAAAGAGUAACGGAGGAGCACGAAGGUUGGCUAAUCCUGGUCGGACAUCAGGAGGUUAGUGCAAUGGCAUAAGCCAGCUUGACUGCGAGCGUGACGGCGCGAGCAGGUGCGAAAGCAGGUCAUAGUGAUCCGGUGGUUCUGAAUGGAAGGGCCAUCGCUCAACGGAUAAAAGGUACUCCGGGGAUAACAGGCUGAUACCGCCCAAGAGUUCAUAUCGACGGCGGUGUUUGGCACCUCGAUGUCGGCUCAUCACAUCCUGGGGCUGAAGUAGGUCCCAAGGGUAUGGCUGUUCGCCAUUUAAAGUGGUACGCGAGCUGGGUUUAGAACGUCGUGAGACAGUUCGGUCCCUAUCUGCCGUGGGCGCUGGAGAACUGAGGGGGCUGCUCCUAGUACGAGAGGACCGGAGUGGACGCAUCACUGGUGUUCGGGUUGUCAUGCCAAUGGCACUGCCCGGUAGCUAAAUGCGGAAGAGAUAAGUGCUGAAAGCAUCUAAGCACGAAACUUGCCCCGAGAUGAGUUCUCCCUGAGACUUAGAGUCUCCUGAAGGAACGUUGAAGACGACGACGUUGAUAGGCCGGGUGUGUAAGCGCAGCGAUGCGUUGAGCUAACCGGUACUAAUGAACCGUGAGGCUUAACCUUACAACGCCGAAG